rnacentral:rRNA from 1 species
ACCUGCCGUCUACUCUUGGACAGCCUUCUGAAAGGAAGAUUAAUACAAGAUGGCAUCAUGAGUCCGCAUGUUCACAUGAUUAAAGGUAUUCCGGUAGACGAUGGGGAUGCGUUCCAUUAGAUAGUAGGCGGGGUAACGGCCCACCUAGUCUUCGAUGGAUAGGGGUUCUGAGAGGAAGGUCCCCCACAUUGGAACUGAGACACGGUCCAA